GUGAAUCAUCAAAUUUUUGAACGCAAAUUGCACUCUCUUCGGAGAGUAUGCCUGUUUGAGGGUCAGUAUUAAUAAAAAUCGGCGUGUUGCUCUUUUGUGACGUUCCGGAGUUUGGGCCAUCUUAUAACAACACCCUUUCAGGGUAUUUUUAAGAGGCUUAAAAUUGACCUUUUUUGUUGAAUUUAAGCGGUAAUUAAUUUUUUUUUUUUUGGUUAACUUUAUUCCAAAUCUCU
rnacentral:misc_RNA from 1 species